ACAAUAUUCGGGCCGUUAAUCUACUGAACUAUGUCACCCGCUUGGUAGAAGAUCUUCCUUCUAUUGU
rnacentral:pre_miRNA from 1 species